rnacentral:rRNA from 1 species
GCUCAGGAUGAACGCUAGCUACAGGCUUAACACAUGCAAGUCGAGGGGUAGCAGGGUAGCAAUACCGCUGACGACCGGCGCACGGGUGAGUAACACGUAUCCAACCUUCCCAUAACUCAGGGAUAGCCUUUCGAAAGAAAGAUUAAUACCUGAUAGUACUUAAGAAAGGCAUCUUUUUUAAGUUAAAGAUUUAUUGGUUAUGGAUGGGGAUGCGUUCCAUUAGAUAGUUGGUGAGGUAAUGGCUCACCAAGUCUUCGAUGGAUAGGGGUUCUGAGAGGAAGGUCCCCCACAUUGGUACUGAGACACGGACCAAACUCCUACGGGAGGCAGCAGUGAGGAAUAUUGGUCAAUGGGCGAGAGCCUGAACC